rnacentral:rRNA from 1 species
UGCCACCAAUUCGCCCAACCACAAACACAAAUUUACUAAUACAAUAUUAAACAAAACAUUUUAUACAAGAAGUAAAGGAGAUUAAACCUUACCAUUGGCGCGAUAGCAAAUCGUACCGCAAGGGAUUAAUGAAAGAAAAAUGACAAUUAAAGCAUAACAAAGCAGUGAUAUACCCACGUACCUCUUGCCUCAUGGCCUAGCAAGUCCAAGGCACGUAAAAUGAUUUUUAAUUUGCUCCCCCGAAAAAUCGCGAGCUAUUUUAAAGCUGCAUUAUGUGCUAACCCGUCUCUGUAGCAAAAGAGUGGGGUGACUUUAAAAUAGAGGUGAAACGCCUAUCGAGCGAUUAGAUAGCUGGUUGCUCAAUAACCGAAUAUUAGUUCGCCCUUGGGCCUAUCCUGACACUACAUAGUCCUACCAAUGCCCAAGAAUUACCCACUCGGGGUUCAGCUCGAGUGGGCCUGGAUACAACCUUAGCCGAGAAAAAGACCCAUAAAAUCCCCAUGUAAGCCUUAAAGCCGCUAUCAUAAAAUCACCGCGUCAAAGCGAUAACUUACUAAAUCCAAACCAUAGACUCUAUUUCCGGAAAGUAAACUGAGCUAAUCCAUAUGAUUAUGGAAGAAAUUAUGCUAAGACUAGUAAAAUCGGCCCACACGCCUCUUCUGCACACCUGUAACCAAAAUUAUUAGACCAAAAACGGCCAAAUAACUAUACACCAAGCAUAACUAUUCAACAAACUAUUAACCCAACACCGGAGUGCAUAAAAGACAGAUAACAUGUUAUGAAAGGAACUCGACAACCUUCAAUCCCAACUGUUUACCAAAAACAUAGCCUUUAGCCCAUCCCAAUAUUAAAGGUCUCGCCUGCCCAGUGACUUCGUUUAACGGCCGCGGUAUCCUAACCGUGCAAAGGUAGCGUAAUCAUUUGUUCUAUAAAUAAGGACUAGUAUGAAUGGCACCAUGAGAAUUGACUUGUCUCUCAUAACAAAUCUAUGAAACUGAUCUCCCAGUUCAAAAGCUGGAAUAAACAUACAAGACGAGAAGACCCUGUGGAGCUUUAGCCAACCGUCACACCCACUGACGACUCGUGCUUUAGUUGGGGCGACUUUGGAGACAAACAAAACCUCCAAACAUACUUACCCGAGGCCGACACGCCAAAAAUAAUCCAAUUGACCCAAUAAACUUGAUUAAUGAACCAAGUUACCCCAGGGAUAACAGCGCAAUCUUCUUUUAGAGUCCCUAUCGACAAGAAGGUUUACGACCUCGAUGUUGGAUCAGGAUAUCCAAAUAGUGCAGCCGCUAUUAAGGGUUCGUUUGUUCAACGAUUAAAAUCCUACGUGAUCUGAGUUCAGACCGGAGCAAUCCAGGUCGGUUUCUAUCUGUAACCGUUGCUUCCUCAGUACGAAAGGACCAGAAAGCAGGGGCCACUAAUACAGUUACGCCCCAUAACGACAGCUGACUACUACUAAAGCUGCCAUACGAACAAAUAGUAUUAGACUAAUAUU